rnacentral:lncRNA from 1 species
CGCUCCAGGAUGCAGGCUGUUCAGAGGAAAAGGUCUGGACAAGGAGAGGAAGCGGAAAGGAAGGCAAGAGCUCUUGGUUGGAGUUGGGGGCAAUGUGCACCACUACUGGUUGCUGGGUAGCGGACAGUGGAGGAAUGCUGUCCCCUGGCUGUGCUUUCUCUCCUUGGCCUGCCUUGCUGAGCUCCAUCCACCAGGUGUGUGGAGUGGCCCCUCAGGUACCUCCAGCCUCCACAGUGGCCUCCAGGGAAGGACUCAGCUGAACUGAGUGAGUGGUGCUGGGUGUGGGAGGCCCACCUGAGGACUGUUGCCAGCAGCAUAAGAGGCAGACCACCUGGAGAAGAGGAAGCAGGCUGUUGGGAGCUGAGAGAAGCUGCUGGGAGCUGAG